AAAAUUGUAAUUAAUAAAACUAAAUUAGUAAAAGUUAAAUUCUAAAAAAUUAAAAAAUUUGGCGGUAUUUUAGUCUUUUUAGAGGAAUCUGCCCUAUAAUCGAUAAUCCACGAUUAAUUAAACUUAUUUUAGUAAUUUACAUAUCUUCGUUUUAGAAUAUUUUUAUAGAAAUUUAAUGUUCAAGAUUUAUAAAAAGAAAGUAAAUCAGAUCAAGGUGUAGUUUAUAAUUAAGAAGAGGUGGAUUACAAUUAUAAAAAAUAAUAGAUUUUAUUUUGAAAAAAAUUUAUGAAAUUGGAUUUAAUAG
rnacentral:rRNA from 1 species